AAUAAGUGCAGUUUUAGCACGGUUCAUAUCUAAUGUUUGACCGUUCGUCUUAUUUAAAAAAAUUGUAAUUAAUAUGAGUAGUACUUUAUGUGUAAUUAAAAAAAUUGUAAUUGCUAUUACAUGAUAAAACAUAAGUAGUACUUUAUGUGUGGCUAUUUUUUUAAAUUUUUUUAUAAUUUUUUUAAAUAAGACGCAUGGUCAGAACGUUAAACACGGAUAUCUAUAGCUGCAUUUAUU
rnacentral:pre_miRNA from 1 species